GCAUUUCCGCAAUGACCUCAGGUCCAGACCUUGGUGCACCAUACAAAGUCCAUGAACACUGGGCAUACUGGCCUACAUGCGCUGCAAGCCGCAGAGAAGACAACUUACACUGGGCAGGGUGCCCAAGGCAACUGAGCGUGUUCCUGCACGGGGCAAAUCCAUAAGGGCUGAAGGGAGACGGGAAGUCGGAAGGAAGACAUGGAUACACACUUGAGCACAGCCAGAAGAGGAAGAACCACCUAUUCAAAUACCUGAGACACACUGCAAUAAUUUAGAAAGAUAAACAUCUUGAUUCCUAGAGAUAAUAAGAGCUGAAUGGCUGGCCUCAAAACCAAGCAUUUGUGACAAUUCUCGAAACAAGAACGUAUUACUCUCCGUUUCCACAACAAUUUACAUAUGAUUGCAAAGAAAACCUUUCUCCCUUCACAGUUGGAAAAUGUAUUCUAAACACGCUACUGGCAGCCUUGCCCUAGUACCAGAAAUCCUGGAGGAAGAUGGGCGAGUGGGUCCACUUGUCUGUUCUCCUGAGGGCAGCUGAGGGUCUUCAGCUGAGCCCGAGGCACUGGCUCCUUUUGAAUGAAUACACGGCUGACCUAGUUAUAAACACCUGCGAUGCAAAAGAAGGCCCCCUUCCCAGGGAUGAAUGGGCACAUUGGAGGCUAGAGCCAAAGCCGAGGGAAAGAAGACUGCAGGACUGGAUAGUCUCAUAUCACUGUAAAAGCACUUCUUUGAAAGGACAGGAGAGCAGGGGUUUUCUGAAAUAAUCUAGUUUCUGCUUGCCAGACAUUUUGCUUCUUGUUGCAGGCUGGAAAAGGAAAACAUAGGUUCCCCUAAGCAGACAGCAACCGUGAUGGAAAUUUCUCAUGCUCUCCAGUACAAAACAACUACCAUGCAUUCAUUCCUCUCCCUCCCUUUCCAAAAAAGCACCAGCUAAAAUGAAAACAACUGAGAUCCAACAAAAGGAGAGUGUCCCCUUCACGGACUGCACCUUGGUUCAAGUGGUCAAGUCAGAAAGGAGGUGUAGGUGACAAUGCAGGAGGCUGAUGGAGCUGCUGAAGCUAAAGACCUUGUGAAUGCCCUCUUACUUCUGGGGCAUGCACUGCUUCUAAGGGACUUGCACCCACCACUGUAACAAAGAGUAAUUUAGAUCUGUCUGCUACGUGUUCAGCUGUGAAUGAAUAAAAGGCUUUCCUUGGAUUGUGAAUCAUUACUUCAAAUACUACGUGUUGCCUGAUUUCUCCAGUGACCAACUUCUACGGUUUUAUAGUGAGUUGUACCACAUGUAGUGGUUUUCCACUAAAAUACUCUCAUGUACCUGGGAACUUCAUCUUUGACCUAAAGUCAGUUUUUAUUGCCCAUGAAUGCAGGAACUUGAGCACCUCAAAUGGAUGUGGCAAAAGCCAGAAGGAAAAAAAUAAAAUAAACCCCAGGUAUUAAAUCUCAGAAUUUCUAAAGCCAAUCUCAAGAUUACACUGUUUUGGAUGCUAACGUGACUUCUGUCAUAUUCAAGAGAAAAAGUAUGCAGGCGGUUAAUGUAAGUGCCAUAAACUGGCAAACCAAAUGAGUUGGUUUGCAGAAAAUAUGUUCUACAAAUAGCUUCCUUAGUCCACUGGUUAAUCUGUACAUUACUUCCAAAACCUAAGUGCCUUUUCAGGAAUGACACUUGGAUACCAAGUAUUUCCAGUCACACAUAAUCACUUUGCACACUGCUGUCACUGGCCUUUGGCCUAGGCAUGUAGAAGGGCGCUCCACCCUUUUUAGGACCCAUUCGUGGACCACACAGAGGCAGCAGCUCAGGGUCUAUGCUGUGUCCAUACUCUAACGUAGCUGAAGCAACAUCAGUGGCUUUUCUACAGGGCUGAAUACAGCCUACUGUUAUCAGUCAAACCACCCCAUCUAAUGCAACCCAUCCAAGGAGGAUUCUAUUGCCAGCCAACAGCCUAGAGCCAGACAGCAGCUCCUGCACCACAGCGCUUUCUGCGACUAAAUAGGGAAACAACCUCAGCUAGAUCAAAAGCAGUGAGCGGUCAGAGCUCCCUUGAGAUCUCCCAUACCCUUCCUACCAUUCGCAAAGUUAAUGGGCUUUGCAAAACUGAGCAGCCUUUGGGAGCACACAGUUUGGCUAGGCAACCACUGCCAUGCACAGUAAUGUUGGGAUCAGGAUAAAGUACAAGCGAACUUCUCACCACCUCACCUCCACAUCUGACCACUCGUGCUGUAUUUGCCCCCUCUUCCCUUGCACUUCUAGCCUCUAGUACUGAGAAACAAAGAUCAAGGAGACUCACGCUCCAAAGUGGAAGCACCACAGCGCUGCAAGAAUGGACAGAAACCUUCAAGUUCAGGGACAUUUUGAGCAGCAGCACUGAUGAUUUCUCAGAAACAGGCUCCAAAUUAGCCUCAUCAACCCUAUUUCAGAGCCACAAGAGGGCAAGAUGUGGAGGAGGAGGACUUCAAGGGUGCUUUCAAAUGAACUGAAUCAGAGGUUUACCCAACCCUGCUCUUUCAGAAGUUUCUGAAUAACGCACCAGCUUGAACCACUGGAAAGAAACAAAUAAAUGAGCUGGCAGCUUUCAUAGGGAGGAGCCUUGAAGCCCAGUUCCCAAGACCACGCCAACCAGCUCAGUGUGACAGCAUGCAGGAAUGAAAAUAGAAGCCAGCCUGAUCACCACUUGCCUUGGAGCAAAGGAUGGGCUUUACUCACCAAACUGCCAACAGCGUUGAUAUGUACAUCUGCUCAGCCACAUUCAGCACCCACCUGAGUUAAUGGAGUGAGACAGGGACUUCUGGGUAUUAAAUCACCUGGCCUACAGCAAAUGCCUAACUUGGGAUGAGAUUCGUAUCAUUCUCUAACAGCUGCAAAGAGCAUUUAGCUCUAGCUCAGAUGCAGGUCCCAUCCCAAGAGAGCAGUCAGAUGCUGAGCUGCUGCAACAAAUUAAAAGCAUAGUGGUUUUAUGCACACAAUUGGCCCUGUUCUUGUCCCUUAUCCUUGCCCACCUGUUUUGCCUUAUUCAAAGCUACCUCUUCCAACUGGUCCUAGAACAGCAAACCGUCUAGUGUUACUAUAAUGCCAAUAAGCAAAAAGAAUAUCAAGACCUCCCCAUGUGCACAAGAAGUGCUGCUCUACCACAAAGGCUUGAAGCAGAACUAGUUAGCCAAGAUCUUACACUUACACACAAAGUCGAGAAAGGGACCUUUGCAAACAUCUCUGCUUGUCUCCUGCAUUUACCGGCCAGUGUUUCACCCAGUAUAGUUCUGAACUUAGAAAACUACGUGAUUCCUCGGUAUAAUUACAGGUGCAGCUUCUAAACUUUAAUGUCUCCAAAGGAACAAUAAUUGCAACCCUUUCAAUAUUUUAUAUUUGCAGACAAGCAGAAUGAACUCAUUGGAAUCAGCAGGUGGUGUAUGUUCAGCUGCUCAGAGCAAUAUUCAGCUUGCCUAUUCCCAGUGAGGGCAGCUGACAUCAGAGAAGCAAUGCCCUGUGAAUGUACCAUUCAGUAGAUAGGAGAGCCCAGAGCUUGUAUGUUAGACAUGAAAGUGUUUUGUAACAUGCAGAUGGUUUCCAUGCAGAGACUGUGAAAGGUGAUGGCCAAGAUUUUGUAAAUCCUGUGCUGGUUUUUUAUGUUAUUUCUCUCUCACAUACCCCCAUUUCCUUGCCUUUCCUUGUAU